rnacentral:rRNA from 1 species
AUAUCAAUAAGCGGAGGAAAAGAAACUAACAAGGAUUCCCCUAGUAACUGCGAGUGAAGAGGGAAGAGCUCAAAUUUAAAAUCUGGCUGUUCUUGAAGCAGUCCGAGUUGUAGUUUAGAGAAGUGUUAUCCGCGCUGGCCUGUGCAAAAGUUUCUUGGAAAAGAACAUCAUAGAGGGUGACAAUCCCGUCUUUGGCACAGAUUACCAGGGCUUUUGUGAUGCGCUCUCGACGAGUCGUGUUGUUUGGGAAUGCAGCACUAAAUGGGUGGUAAAUUCCAUCUAAAGCUAAAUAUUGGCGAGAGACCGAUAGCGAACAAGUACCGUGAGGGAAAGAUGAAAAGAACUUUGAAAAGAGAGUUAAACAGUACGUGAAAUUGUUGAAAGGGAAACGCUUGAAGUCAGUCGUGUCUUCCAGGGAUCAAGUCACCUUUGGGUGGCCGUACUUUCUGGUUGAUAGGUCAGCAUCAAUUUUGAUCAUUGGAUAAAGGCCUCGGGAAUGUGGCAUCUUCGGAUGUGUUAUAGACCUUGGUUGGAUACAAUGGUUGGGAUUGAGGAACUCAGUGUGCCUUCAUGGUUGGGGCUUUUGCUCACACCGCACGCUUAGGAUGCUGGCAUAAUGGCUUUAAUCGA